rnacentral:tRNA from 8 species
GCGGAUAUGGCGGAAUUGGUAGACGCGCUAGAUUUAGGUUCUAGUGCCGCAAGGCGUGUAGGUUCAAGUCCUAUUAUCCGCA